rnacentral:rRNA from 1 species
UACGAAGGGGGCUAGCGUUGUUCGGAAUUACUGGGCGUAAAGCGCGCGCAGGCGGCUAUCCAAGUCAGUGGUGAAAGCCCGGAGCUCAACUCCGGAACUGCCAUUGAAACUGUUUAGCUUGAGGACGAGAGAGGUGAGUGGAAUUCCCAGUGUAGAGGUGGAAUUCGUAGAUAUUGGGAAGAACACCGGUGGCGAAGGCGGCUCACUGGCUCGUAUCUGACGCUCAGGCGCGACAGCGUGGGGAUCAAACAGG